rnacentral:rRNA from 1 species
UGGGGAAUAUUGCACAAUGGGCGAAAGCCUGAUGCAGCAACGCCGCGUGAGUGAUGAAGGUCUUCGGAUUGUAAAGCUCUGUCUUUUGGGACGAUAAUGACGGUACCAAAGGAGGAAGCCACGGCUAACUACGUGCCAGCAGCCGCGGUAAUACGUAGGUGGCGGGCGUUGUCCGGAUUUACUGGGCGUAAAGGGUGCGUAGGCGGAUGUUUAAGUGAGAUGUGAAAUACCCGGGCUUAACUUGGGUGCUGCAUUUCAAACUGGAUAUCUAGAGUGCAGGAGAGGAGAAUGGAAUUCCUAGUGUAGCGGUGAAAUGCGUAGAGAUUAGGAAGAACACCAGUGGCGAAGGCGAUUCUCUGGACUGUAACUGACGCUGAGGCACGAAAGCGUGGGUAGCAAACAGGGUUAGAUACCCUGGUAGUCCACGCCGUAAACGAUGAGUACUAGGUGUAGGAGGUAUCGACCCCUUCUGUGCCGCAGUAAAACACAUUAAGUACUCCGCCUGGGAAGUACGAUCGCAAGAUUAAAACUCUAAAGUGAAUU